UACGGGGGGGGUAAGCGUUGUUCGGAAUUACUGGGCGUAAAGGGCUCGUAGGCGGCCAACUAAGUCAGACGUGAAAUCCCUCAGCUUAACUGGGGAACUGCGUCUGAUACUGGAUGGCUUGGAUUUGGGAGAGGGAUGCGGAAUUCCAGGUGUAGCGGUGAAAUGCGUAGAUAUCUGGAGGAACACCGGUGGCGAAGGCGGCAUCCUGGACCAACAUUGGCGCUGAGGAGCGAAAGCCAGGGGAGCAAACGGG
rnacentral:rRNA from 1 species